AAUGUACUCCCUCCGUCCGAAAAAGUUUGUCCCUCGAAUGGAUGUAUCUAGGACUAAGUUAGUGCUAGAUACAUCCAAUCCAUUUGAGGGAAAAGUUUUUCCGGACAGAGGGAGUAUGAU
rfam:Triticum aestivum genome assembly, contig: Triticum_aestivum_CS42_TGACv1_scaffold_622292_7DS